rnacentral:tRNA from 1 species
GGUAGUGUGGCCUACAGGAUAGAUCACUGGACUGGGAUUCCAGACACCAGGGUUCUAUUCCUGGCUCUGCCA